CAGCCCAGACCACCAGCUAAGGUCCCAAAAUAUAUGUUAAGUGGAAAAGGAUGUGGCGUUGCCCAGACAACUAGGAUGUUGGCUUAGAAGCAGCCAUCAUUUAAAGAGUGCGUAAUAGCUCACUAGUCGAGUGACACUGCGCCGAAAAUGUACCGGGGCUAAACAUAUUACCGAAGCUGUGGAUUGUCCUUUGGACAAUGGUAGGAGAGCGUUCUAAGG
rnacentral:rRNA from 1 species